ACAGCUUGUUGUGGUGGCAACGGUGUCCUUAAUGGAGCUUGCAGUACGGGCAGCCUCAUUACACUAAUCCAUGCACACAGGCUCCAAACACAUCCCCUUCCAGCUGAAAGAGCAGGUAAACACCAGCUGGGAGGACAUGGCGCGCUCAGCAGAGUUAGAGGGAAAGCACCCCAGCCUGGAAUUACAGGCUGAGGAUUUGGACCAGCAAACCCUGUGAGCAAGUUCUGGAGCUGGGGAACAGCUCCAGGGUAUGAUCCAGCUGGGGCCAGCGCCCAUGAAACACAUCAGCCUUUGCAGUGACAGCCCCAGACCCUCCAGUGGCUUCCUGCUCCCUCCUGAAGGGCUUUGGAGACCAAGACUGCUGCUCUGCCAUUUGACUUCCAGGCUUCCAGGAAAGGUUGAGUGUGGGCAACAGAGUCAGCCAGUACUACUGUCACUCUGCUAUGCCUCCCUUCCUAGGGAGCCUAUAGUCUGCUGGAGUAUGCACCUGGCCUGCUCUGGAAUCACUCUACACAUCACCGUCAUCUGAAUUAACCUUCAAGUGAAAGCAAGGCCUGAGAGAGAGCUGGUAGGGGCCAAAUGGGCAGCAUCUGCUAUCCCUGCAGAAGAUGGAAAUGAAUCAGAGUUUGGGGACUACAGCAAGAGAGUGGGCACAGAGCGGAAGGUUUCGUCAAUCCUUGGCACAGAACAGCCAAUGCCAAAAAGAGCCACCAGUGGCUUCUUGCGUGAAGGCUCCCGUCCAGAACAACGGGAAGUGCCAAAGCAAAUUGGCUGCUUCCUUUUGGCUAAUAGCUACCAUCUUUCUGCCAAAGGAAUCAGCUUACAAAGCUAUGGGUCAACACAGAUAUUUUAGGAUCCCAUCUCCAACAUGGGCCAGUGAGAAGCAAAGAGCCGCCUUCUCUCCCCAUGUGCUGUCCUGGGCUGAUCUACUCAACUCUGCUACCAAGUUGAGUACAGGGGUUUUAAAUUUCUUCUGUGUGUGUGUGUGUGUGUGUGUGUGUGUGUGUGUGUGUGUGUGUGUGUGUGUGUGUGUGUGUGUGUGUGUG